rnacentral:rRNA from 1 species
UGGGGAAUAUUGGACAAUGGGCGAAAGCCUGAUCCAGCAAUGCCGCGUGAGUGAUGAAGGCCUUAGGGUUGUAAAGCUCUUUUACCAGGGAUGAUAAUGACAGUACCUGGAGAAUAAGCUCCGGCUAACUCCGUGCCAGCAGCCGCGGUAAUACGGAGGGAGCUAGCGUUGUUCGGAAUUACUGGGCGUAAAGCGUACGUAGGCGGUUCGGUAAGUCCCAUGUGAAAUCCCACGGCUCAACCGUGGAAGGUCAUGGGAAACUGCCAGGCUAGAGUGUGAAAGGGGAGAGUGGAAUUCCCAGUGUAGUGGUGAAAUACGUAGAUAUUGGGAGGAACACCGGUGGCGAAAGCGACUCUCUGGUUCAUAACUGACGCUGAGGUACGAAAGCGUGGGGAGCAAACAGGAUUAGAUACCCCUGUAGUCCCUGAGCGGGCUGGCAAGGCGCAU